UCCCACCCCUUUUGUGAUGUCAUCGGCGGCGGUCUAUAAAACAACCUGGAAGUUGCAUGUGGGCGCGGGCUCAGGUAGAGUGGGUUAACGUCAGGUGCAGGUAGAGGAAAUCCCGACCCGCACAUCACUAGUGCACAUGGCUCUGCACAUAGCAAAUGGUUGUGCAGCAGCGACACCUUGUGACACCCUCCGGUAUCUGCCAGACACACUGCACUGGGACCAGGUUCCUGCCCUUCCCAACACUCUAAGUUAAACCUGUAGCUCAGAGGCAGGGGAUUUCCUACCAUUUGGUUCUCAUAUUAAGGAACAGAGGGGGAGUAUUUAUAUAGCAUCUACUGCUGCUGACACAGUGAGUAAAGUGAGCACUUUGUCAGAAUAGCAUUUGGCUUCCAUUUUAUCAACAUACCUUGCACACCUUGUUAGCUAGGUUACACAUUUUAACCCCAGUUUAGGGAUGGUACAUAACCUGGGGUGCUUCAGCCAUUAUAUAACCUAAGAACCUUGUCCCAGGGGUGACAAAAGCAAAAAUGCCCAUGUUUUGAAGCACAAAGCUCAAUCACACUCUCUACUAAUACUAGUGACGCCAACCCCUUGACCCUGCUCUUAUGCAAUAGUGAAAAGUGUUGGCAAGUUACCUCAAGCAGCAGCAGCUCCAUGUACAUAUACCAAUAAUCCUGAUCUUUAUUUAUCCCACUUUUAAUCUUCUUCAUCCCCUGAUUCCCUGUAUUUUGUAUUGAAGCAUCUAAAUAUCGUUUUACGUGACUGGCAAGAUUUAGAGAACUGUAGAAAGGAGGAUGGAAAUGCUUACAUUCAGAAAGAGCUUGAGAAAUUGAAAAAUCUAUCUCAGUACCAGUUUGUGAAAUCAGCAGUUCAAAACCGAUCGGUAUCCUGCUCCAUUUUGCCUCACCCGGGAAACAAAAUGCUAAUGUCAGGCCAGGGAAGGCUUUCAGAUAUGGAUCCGAUUUUCAGAGAUUUCCUAUCAGAUCACUUGUAUGAACUGGUGAACGGACUGCAGCGCUACAUAAAAACUAAUAACCGUGGUGAGACUGUGACCUGCUUGGAGAUGCGAAAUGUGCUAAAGACACUUGUGAAUGUUCUGCAGAAUAAGGAAUACAAUCUAAUGUCCCCCGUGCAGGUAAAUAUGUU